rnacentral:rRNA from 1 species
AUACGGAGGAUCCGAGCGUUAUCCGGAUUUAUUGUGUUUAAAGGGUGCGCAGGCGGCCAUUUAAGUCAGCGGUUAAAUCGUGGGGCUCAACCCCAUUCUGCCGUUGAUACUGGGUGGCUUGAUUGCGGUCGAGGUUGGCGGAAUUCGUUGUGUAGCGGUGAAAUGCAUAGAUAUGACGAAGAACACCGAUUGCGUAGGCAGCUGACCAGACCGCAAAUGACGCUCAUGCACGAAAGUGCGGGGAUCGAACAGGAUUAGAUACCCUGGUAGUCCGCACAGUAAACGAUGAAUACUUGUUUUCGGCGAUAUAAUGUCGGAGGCAAAGCGAAAGCGAUAAGUAUUCCACCUGGGGAGUACGCCGGCAACGGUGAAACUUAAAGGAAUUGACGGGG